GACGAACGCUGGCGGCGUGCCUAAUACAUGCAAGUCGAACGCAGUGGGGACGGGUGAGUAACACGUGGGUAACCUCCCAUCAGAGGGGAUAACACUUGGAAACAGGUGCUAAACCGAUACUGAUGGAUGGACCCGCGGGGGAUUAGCUAGUUGGUGAGGUAACGGCUCACCAAGGCCACGAUGCAUAGCCGAUCUGAGAGGAUGAUCGGCCACACUGGGACUGAGACACGGCCCAGACUCCUACGGGAGGCAGCAGUAGGGAAUAUUCGGCAAUGGACGAAAGCCUGACCGAGCAAGGCCGCGUGAGUGAAGAAGGUCUUCGGAUUGUAAAACUCUGUCGGUAGAGAAGCGUUAUCUACCCAGGAAGCCACGGCUAACUCCGUGCCAGCCGCCGCGGUAAUUC
rnacentral:rRNA from 1 species